AUUGAACGCUGGCGGCAUGCCUUACACAUGCAAGUCGAACGGCAGCACGGGAGCAAUCCUGGUGGCGAGUGGCGAACGGGUGAGUAAUAUAUCGGAACGUGCCCAGUCGUGGGGGAUAACGUGGCGAAAGCUACGCUAAUACCGCAUACGAUCUAUGGAUGAAAGCGGGGGAUCGCAAGACCUCGCGCGAUUGGAGCGGCCGAUAUCAGAUUAGGUAGUUGGUGAGGUAAAGGCUCACCAAGCCGACGAUCUGUAGCUGGUCUGAGAGGACGACCAGCCACACUGGGACUGAGACACGGCCCAGACUCCUACGGGAGGCAGCAGUGGGAAUUUUGGACAAUGGGCGCAAGCCUGAUCCAGCAAUGCCGCGUGCAGGAUGAAGGCCUUCGGGUUGUAAACUGCUUUGUACGGAACGAAACGGUGAGCUCUAAUACAGUUUGCUAAUGACGGUACCGUAAGAAUAAGCACCGGCUAACUACGUG
rnacentral:rRNA from 1 species